GUCGGGAAUAUUGCGCAAUGGAGGAAACUCUGACGCAGUGACGCCGCGUAUAGGACGAAGGUCUUCGGAUUGUAAACUAUUGUCGUUAGGGAAGAGAAAGGACAGUACCUAAGGAGGAAGCUCCGGCUAACUACGUGCCAGCAGCCGCGGUAAUACGUAGGGAGCGAGCGUUAUCCGGAUUUAUUGGGUGUAAAGGGUGCGUAGACGGGAAUUUAAGUUAGUUGUGAAAUCCCUCGGCUCAACUGAGGAACUGCAACUAAAACUGGAUUUCUUGAGUGCUGGAGAGGAAAGCGGAAUUCCUAGUGUAGCGGUGAAAUGCGUAGAUAUUAGGAGGAACACCAGUGGCGAAGGCGGCUUUCUGGACAGUAACUGACGUUGAGGCACGAAAGUGUGGGGAGCAAACAGGAUUAGAAACCCUAGUAGUCC
rnacentral:rRNA from 1 species